UACGUAGGUGGCAAGCGUUGUCCGGAUUUACUGGGCGUAAAGGAUGCGUAGGCGGAUAUGUAAGUCAGAUGUGAAAUUCCCGGGCUUAACUUGGGAACUGCAUUUGAAACUGCAUGUCUAGAGUGCAGGAGAGGAAAGUGGAAUUCCUAGUGUAGCGGUGAAAUGCGUAGAGAUUAGGAAGAACACCAGUGGCGAAGGCGACUUUCUGGACUGUAACUGACGCUGAGGCAUGAAAGCGUGGGGAGCAAACAGG
rnacentral:rRNA from 3 species